UCCUGCCCCUGGAGACCAGCUGCAGCACAGAUGUUGUGUAGAUGAGAUUGCUGGCUGCACCCAGCCGACACUCAAUGAUUCACUGUGAAAAAAGAUGGCGUUUUCGCUUGCCCUGUUCCUAGGCUUAGCUUCCAUUGCCUCUGCUUGUCAGCAACAGCUGUUGGCCCCUCUGCCCUUGCGGGACCAGCUCCUCUGGAUGAGCGCUUUCGUCUUUGUCCGACCCUCUUUCAGGACAGCAACUCCCACUUGGUGUUAAACAUCAUUGCUCAUAAAUAGAAGUGCAUUUGGAUUAGCUGUGGCCAAGGUCCAUCUGGUCUCUUUCCUUCUGCAUAGAGUGAUGAAUUGGCUAAAGGACAAGAAGGGAAGGGUAGAGCAGCUGGUGAGGCGGUCACCACAGAACCAAGCCUUGUCUGUGUGCGAUGCAGGUUUCCUUGUGCAGAAUGAGCUUGAGUGACCCGGGAGGCACCCUCCCCUACAGCCCCUUGGCCAUUGUGGGAAGGAAAAGCAGAUUCUAAUACAGGACACAGCAAACAUCAUGUUUGUCUUCAUGUCUGCAAAGCAUGCUGGAUUUGUCCAAGGAAAAAGCAAGUAAAAAUAGAGAAAAAGGAAAUGAGCACUCAUUUUAGAAAUAAUGCUUUUUUUUUUUUUUUUUUGAGACGGGGUUGCCCAGGUCUGAGUGCAGUAGCGUGACCACAGCUCACUGCUGUCUCCAUCUCCCACUGCACCCAGUGAGACAAUGGCUUUUUUUUUUUUUUGAGACAGUCUCACUCUGUUGCCCAGGCUGGAGUGCAGUGGUGUGAUCUUGGCUCACUGAAACCUCUGCCUCCUGGGUUCAAGUGAUUCUCCUGCCUCAGCCUCCCGAGUAGCUGGGAUUACAGGCAUGUGCCACCACACCCAGCUAAUAUUUGUAUUUUUAGUAAAGACAGGGUUUCACCAUGUUGGCCAGGCUGCUGUCUCAAACUCCUGACCUCAAGUGAUCUGCCCGCCUGGACUUCCCAAAGUGCUGGGAUUACAGGUGUGAGCCACCGUGCCCAGCCGAGAUAAUGUAUAUUGAUGAGUAUGUACACAUGUGUGUAUUUUUUCUUUUAGCUAGUGACGAGUCUGGCAGGCCAUAAACACUUAAGGGAUCAAUAAUUUAAUAAUAAACACAAAUGGAAUUGUUGCAGGCAUAAAAGAACAAAAAUCUGCAAAUGGAGGCCUGGGAGAGGGCAGGCUCUGGGGGAGAUGGGAGCCAGCUGUCAGUAAAAGCCUUCACCAACAGGCUUUUGCUCUGUGGCUGCAGUUCCCUUUCCCAGCAGCCCCGAGGUGGGUCUCCAGGGAGCCCUCCACAGCAGCCCUUCUGUGACCUCAUGCGCUGAUGGUUGUCUCAGCUACAGGAGUGGAAGGCGCAGCCAAGCAGCCGCUGGUAUUUCUGUGUUGCAUAUGGGCUGGGGUCCCUCCUGUCCUUCUCUCCUACACGAUCCCAGAUCUGAUUUCUAAUGGUGUUGUAUUUCCUCCCUAAAUCAUUUUUCAAUAGUAUUUUUGUUCUUCUGUGGGAUACAGAAGAACUUUUUUUUCCUAUUGCAAUAAGGACAAGUAAACAAGUCAGAAGCCUCAGAAGACCUCAAGAGAGAAAUCACAGCCUUCAAUUCCUGGUCCCUUUCUGAAACCUCAGCUCUUGAUUCACUUAAUUUCAAGGAGAAUUGUUUUAUGACUACGCCAAGCUGACCCAAAGACCCCUGGGAAGCACGUGGCCCAUCAGAGGGAAGGGCUAGGCCCUGGGGCUGGAAAGGAUGCAGAGCCUGUUUUCAACAAUUACGUCUACAUUUUCCAAGAGAUUAAACCGAUUGGAAGCCAAGCAUUGGAGAAGAGAUCUUUUGUCUUCCUUGGCAACAUUUCUGAAAUCUACAGAUAGGGAUGAGGAAGUGAGGCACAUUUUUCAUCUGUUCCAACAAACUGCCAAUGGAAUGGCUGACAUGCCAUUUUAGUGUAUGUCAUCUCUCCCGUGUUCCGUCAUCACUGAGGGUCAGCUGGGCCCUGCCCUUGAAUACAGCACAGGGCUGGUGUCAUGGAGCCGGCCUUCCUUACACUAAUGAACCGCAGGAGCCUCCCCUUGUCCCUUGCCUGGGGGGAACUAAUGGCAUUGCAGGGCAAAGGCUCAGCAGGGACCCUGUAGAUAGAGGAUAGAUCGGCACCCAGGCGUCUUACAGGGUGGACCCCAUGCUGGCAGGGUGGGAAGCCAGAGAAAAGAGGCUUGGAAGAAGCAAAGGGAACUCUCAAGAGGGUGCAGAGAUGAACGUGGCUUGCACCUGGAGAAUUCCCAGCCAAUGUGAGCUUGACGCCCCUCUCCUUUCCACCAAUCAGAUGGCACUACCACCUCCUCCUAAUUCCUCUACCAAUGAAAACUAGGUUCCUUUACCUUAUCCACCAAUCAGGGCUUUGGACAAAGAAUAAUCUUAUCAAACCCCACAUGGAUUCACACGCAUCUGGUAGCUUGGUUGUUGGUAAGUCUCUGCAUGGCAAGCUGGGUCUCCAAGUCUUUAUUGUUAUGCUUCUAUCGUUUGGAGGCAGAAGGGGAGAUGGGAGAGCUAAAAGCCCAGGUCCCUUUCUUCCCUGAAAACCCUGAAAAAAGUUUCUGCCUAUGUGAAAAAGAAGGGGUUUAGUGGACAGUCAUCAUAAGCCAACAGUGAUAUGUGGGCGUCAUGCUAAUGCCGUGGCUUAGGCUGCACUGAUACACAUUUAUCAAACCAAUACAUUGCCAACGGAAUGGCUGACACGCCGCUUUAAUGUAUGUCAUCUCUGUGUUCGGUGAGCGCAGUGAUGUCCUUCAAGGAAGGACUUGUUGCCUUGGCUGCUGCGCUGCCAUGAGCGGGGCUCUGACUAUGGUGAGAUUAGCUGGUGACCUCGCACCCGUCAUACCAGUUGGGCUGUAAUGACUCCUAGAGACAGUCGCUCAAGAUAGCUCUGUGUGUUUGUUUCAUAAAUAAGCUCCAUGGCAAAUUCGCAUUGUUUUUCCCCAAAUAAGCAAUUCCGAAGGCUGGGCCUUCACUGAGAGCUUGCAUCUCUGCAUAAACUGCCUCUGGGCUUUGGGACCUGCUUUAGCUUCCAGGAGCUGCUCUUCAAGACCACAUUCCUCCCCAGAGCAGCCCUGUCAACAUCCAGGGACAGAUGAAAGCCCGAGUAUGAAGACCUGACCAUCUCCCCCGAAAUCAGGAAACUCUGAAGAGCAUUCUAGCUCCAAAGAUUCCUGUGGGUUGGCUGGGGCUGUCCUUGGACCUGUAGUACAGCCCAGGUCCUCCCACUGCCCACACCCGCUCUUGCCUCCUCUCUUACACAGGUGUUGGUCUGAGGGCACUUGUACAGGCUAAACUCCAUCUGAGUCCGCUUCCCAGGAAAACCAGCCUGCAGGGAAACCAUGCCAGUUCUCUGUGCUACUUGCAUCUCCCUUGCAGAGCUGCCUUCAGAAUCUGGACAAAGAUUUUGGUCAAUUUAUAAAGUUUAUUUUAUUUAUUUAUUUAUUUUUUGAAAUGGAAUCUCACUCUGUCGCCCAGGCUGGAGUACAGUGACGCGAUCUUGGCUCUCUGCAGCCUGCGCCUCCAGAGUUCAGGUGAUUCUCGUGCCUCAGCUUCCCCAGUAGCUGGCACUACAGGCACGUGCCACCACACCCAGCUAAUUUUUCUUCUUUUUGUAUUUUUAGUAGGGAUGGGGUUUCACCAUGUUGGCCAGGCUGGUCUCUAACUCCUGACCUCAAGUGACCUGCCCGCUUUGGCCUCCCAAAGUGCUGGGAUUACAGGCGUGAGCCACCACGCCCAGCCUAAUUUAUAAAGUUUCUGUUUGUCACAGCUGGCUGAAAUGUGAUAGACAUCUUCUGAAGGUGAGGUCAUCUUCUAAGGAAGAUGUUCAAAGGAAAACUGACUAUUGGAAAGAUAAGGGAUGGGUGAGGGGUGAAAUCAGGAAUCUUGCGGGCAGAUGGACGAGAUGCCCUCUGUCAGACCUCUGAGGCCAAGCUAAGCCGUCAUAUCCCCUGUGACCCUCACGUAUACAUCCAGAUGGCCUGAAGCAACUGAAGAUCCACAGAAUAAGUGAAAAUAGCCACUUAUUAGUUCCUGCCUCAACUGAUGACAUUCCACCAUUGUGACUUGUUCCUGCCCCACCCUAACUGAUCAAUUGACUUUGUGACAUUCCUUCUCCUGGACAAUGAAUCUCAGGAGCUCCCCACCAGCACCUUGUGACCCCCGCCCCUGCCCGCAAGAGAACACCCCCUUUCACUGUAAUUUUCCACGACCUGCCCGAAUCCUAUAAAACUGCCUCACCCCGAUCUCCCUUUGCUGACUCCUUUUACGGACUCAGUCUGCCUGCAUCCAGGUGAUUAAAAGCUUUAUUGCUCACACGAAGCCUGUUUGGUGGUCUCUUCUCAAGGACGCGCAUGACACCCUCCAGGGUCUAAUCAUACAUCAAGAUCUUAAUAUCCCAAGAUUAACUGUACCCCAGAUAUCUAGUACCCUUCAG
rnacentral:lncRNA from 10 species